rnacentral:rRNA from 1 species
GGUUAAGCGACUAAGCGUACACGGUGGAUGCCCUGGCAGUCAGAGGCGAUGAAGGACGUGCUAAUCUGCGAUAAGCGUCGGUAAGGUGAUAUGAACCGUUAUAACCGGCGAUUUCCGAAUGGGGAAACCCAGUGUGUUUCGACACACUAUCAUUAACUGAAUCCAUAGGUUAAUGAGGCGAACCGGGGGAACUGAAACAUCUAAGUACCCCGAGGAAAAGAAAUCAACCGAGAUUCCCCCAGUAGCGGCGAGCGAACGGGGAGGAGCCCAGAGCCUGAAUCAGUGUGUGUGUUAGUGGAAGCGUCUGGAAAGGCGCGCGAUACAGGGUGACAGCCCCGUACACAAAAAUGCACAUACUGUGAGCUCGAUGAGUAGGGCGGGACACGUGGUAUCCUGUCUGAAUAUGGGGGGACCAUCCUCCAAGGCUAAAUACUCCUGACUGACCGAUAGUGAACCAGUACCGUGAGGGAAAGGCGAAAAGAACCCCGGCGAGGGGAGUGAAAAAGAACCUGAAACCGUGUACGUACAAGCAGUGGGAGCCUC